rnacentral:rRNA from 1 species
AUUGAACGCUGGCGGCAUGCCUUACACAUGCAAGUCGAACGGUAACAGGUCUUCGGAUGCUGACGAGUGGCGAACGGGUGAGUAAUACAUCGGAACGUGCCUAGUAGUGGGGGGAUAACUACUCGAAAGAGUGGCUAAUACCGCAUGAGAUCUACGGAUGAAAGCAGGGGAUCGCAAGACCUUGUGCUACUAGAGCGGCCGAUGGCAGAUUAGGUAGUUGGUGGGAUAAAAGCUUACCAAGCCGACGAUCUGUAGCUGGUCUGAGAGGACGAUCAGCCACACUGGGACUGAGACACGGCCCAGACUCUUACGGGAGGCAGCAGUGGGGAAUUUUGGACAAUGGGCGCAAGCCUGAUCCAGCAAUGCCGCGUGCAGGAUGAAGGCCUUCGGGUUGUAAACUGCUUUUGUACGGAACGAAAAGCCCUGGGUUAAUACCCUGGGGUCAUGACGGUACCGUAAGAAUAAGCACCGGCUAACUUCGUGCCAGCAGCCGCAGUAACAC